rnacentral:rRNA from 1 species
AGUGAACGCUGGCGGUAGGCCUAACACAUGCAAGUCGAACGGCAGCACAGUAAGAGCUUGCUCUUACGGGUGGCGAGUGGCGGACGGGUGAGGCAUACAUCGGAAUCUACUUUUUCGUGGGGGAUAACGUAGGGAAACUUACGCUAAUACCGCAUACGACCUACGGGUGAAAGCAGGGGAUCUUCGGACCUUGCGCGAUUGAAUGAGCCGAUGUCGGAUUAGCUAGUUGGCGGGGUAAAGGCCCACCAAGGCGACGAUCCGUAGCUGGUCUGAGAGGAUGAUCAGCCACACUGGAACUGAGACACGGUCCAGACUCCUACGGGAGGCAGCAGUGGGGAAUAUUCGACAAUGGGCGCAAGCCUGAUCCAGCCAUACCGCGUGGGUGAAGAAGGCCUUCGGGUUGUAAAGCCCUUUUGUUGGGAAAGAAAAGCAGCAGGUUAAUACCCCGCUGUUCUGACGGUACCCAAAGAAUAAGCACCGGCUAACUUCGUG